CGCGUAGGCGGUUUGAUAAGUCAGAUGUGAAAGCCCACGGCUUAACCGUGGAAGUGCAUUUGAUACUGUCAGACUUGAGUACCCAGAGGGGAAAGUGGAAUUCCCGGUGUAGAGGUGAAAUUCGUAGAUAUCGGGAGGAAUACCGGUGGCGAAGGCGACUUUCUGGCUGAGUACUGACGCUGAGGCGCGAAAGCGGUGGGGAGGCAACA
rnacentral:rRNA from 1 species